GGGUUUAUCUGCCUCUGGAUCCAUUCAGUGUUUGUUGAAUAAAUGGCCAAUUUAAAAAUCAUUGAUUAGGAGUUCCUGUUGUGGUUCAGUGGUUAAUGAAUCCCACUAGGAACCAUGAGGUUGCAGGUUCGAUCCCUGGCCUUGCUCAGUGGGUUAAGGAUCCAGCAUUGCCGUAAGCUGUGGUGUAGGUCACAGAUGCGGUUCGGGUCCUGCGUUGCUGUGGCUGUGGUGUAGGCCGGCGGUGGCUACAGUUCUGAUUAGACCCCUAGCCUGGGAACCUCCAUAGGCUGCGGGAGCGGCCCAAGAAAUGGCAAGAAGACAAAAAAAAAAAAAAAAUCCUCCAUGAACCUGACCUUGCGGCCAGGUCUGGUGCUCUGUUAUCUGCUGUCAUUGGGAUCUCUCUGAGAGCUUGAUGACCAUUGCAUCCAUGUGCCCUGCACUGUGCCUGGGCUAUAACAGAUGCUCAGUGUUUGCAACGUAAGUAUAGGAAUAUAUGAGGCUGCUUAACUAUCACUGAAUACAUAUUUCUGGAUGCCAAUAACCAUUUACUAUACCUCUACAUCUGUUACAAGAAAAUGACUUUAUAUUUCUAUACUGAAGUCUUCUCCACUAUUGAACUAAGGGUCUUUCCCCUUCUAACUGUAAUUUCUCCUUAAGCAAUCUCAUCUAUGCCUACAGCUUUAAUUAUCACCAUUAUCUAGAUGACUCUGAAAUUAAAAUCUUCAGCCCAGAGUCCUCCCUUGAACUGUAGGUCUAUGUAUCUAAUAGUCUAUUGUACAGCUUCCUGUGAAUGUCUCAAAAGUACAUCAGCCACAUGUUUUAGUUAGGAUACUGCUAGCUAUUGUAACAAAUGUAGUCCAACCCAGCAAAACUGGAUUUCUCACCUUCAUAAUAGCCCAAUUCAGAGUUUCUAGUUGGCAAGCAGCCUCUACAUGGUCAUUUUUAGGAAAGCCUCCUUCUUUUUCACUUGCAGACUUUUGCAUGAGGUCAGUCGAUGGGUAACAGGAGGUGGGAAAAAAAACACACCUGCUUCUGAAGUUUAGUGGCCCAGUACUGUUGUCUGAACUCCCUUAGUGAGAACCAAGCACAUGGCCCCAGCUAGAUGCAGAGGAGUGGUGAGGGUUGGGAAAUAAGGUCUUUGAGCAGCUCAUUUCCACAAUAAUUCUCUGCGGUGAAAUAAGCACGGAUCUUUGGCUGACAGCUAGUCAUCUCUGAUACAUUCAUCAUGACCACAAUUCAACUAAUCUCCCAAAGUAACCAAACACCCUGCCCCUCCUCCAGUGUUCCUAUUUCCAUUGUCCCUCCUCCAGUGUUCGUAUUUCCAUUGACAACACAUCUCUGCAAAUGCCGCAGACGUAGGUAUUAUUCUUGAUGUGUUUGUGGGAGAAACGUAAGUGAGAUGUCUUACUCCUCCACCAUCUUGAUCCUUCUCCCCAUAGGUAUUCUUGAUGCCUUCUUUCCUCAGCUCAUUUAUCAAAGGGGUCUGUGAUUUGCUGCUUUAAUUCAUGACCCCAAAUUUGGGAUUAUAAAGAACUUUAAAGGUUAGGGAACAAUGUAAGUCAGCUAUAAUUAAAAAAAAAAUUAAAAAGUAACAACAACAACAACAACAGAAAAAGGUUAACGAAGUGGGAAUCAAAUCCCUCAGAAUGGUCUCUGACUCCUCCUCCACCCCCUGCAGUCAUUACCUGGUCUUGUCUAUCGUGCUUUAAGAAUGUGUGCUGACUGGGUCCACAGCUGUCUUGCAGCCACCCUGCUUGCCUGGACCAAGAGGUCCCUUAGCUGAUCUCCCCAGGUCCUUUGGCUCCCCUCUUGUCUUCUUUACACUGUGGCCAACGAGAACAUUUAAAAUGCAGCUCUAAUUGCAUUACCUCCCUUGCUGUUAGUGCUUCAAAGCCAGCCUCUUGCUCUUAACAUCAAGGCACAAUUUUGUCACAUAAUUUAUAGUGACACCCAUAUCCUGGUUUCUACCUCAGCUUAUCUUCUGUUAAGGAUUUGCUGUCUUUUCUUAGUCACAUUAUCUUCUGGUGUUCUCCAGGCUAUAGGGCCUUAUUUUCAAAAUCCUUUUCUCUUUUUCUAACACAUUUCCUUGAUAUCAUUGUAAAAUGUCACGUUCUAAGAAAACCUUUUCCUCGUCUCCCUAAUCAGAUCAGCUUCACCCAUUAAAAAAUUUUAAAGCAACUUGUAUUUCUCUUUUGUGGCAUGUGUGACAGUUUGUCUCACAUCUCUUUAUGUGAUUAUUGGAUGAAUAUCUGUGUCUACCCCAGAAUUUUAUUUUCUCAGUGGGCAGGGAUUGGGCUUUGUUCAAUUUUUUUCUGUCUUGUGUUUAUAUCACUGACAAGUGAUCAGCAUUUGAUAAAAAUUUUUUUGAAUGAAUGAAUGAUUUUGUAUAUCAGGUGGUGUUAUCAACUGAGGGAUGAAUGGCCAUUAUCUCCACAGGUGUACAGAGAUAUUGAUUUAAGAAUUUAGAGCAUCCCUGAUAUUCUGGUAGUUAUGGAGUUUUCUAAGUUGCAUAUUUAAGAUUUCUUUAUAGAACAAUGAAAAACUUGCAAAGGUUAGAGCAUAAAGACCAGAAAUGAAUUUGUUCUGCUUAGAGAUUUACAUCAGAUCUUUACAUGGUUGAAACUUUCUUUAUUUUUUCAUCUCGCUGGGUUUUCUAGCAAGGUAUGUGCUGGGACAUUCUAGAGAAAGUGACAUCAUUAGUUUCUUUCUGAAGUAUUGCAGUUAUCCAUCUUGAAAUAAUAUGCUUGCCAUUCUGCUUCCUAAAUAUGUAUAUCUACAUGUAUAUGUGCAUAUUUAUUAUAUUUGCUGAAAAAUAGUAUAUAUGCCGAUUAUGCAUUAUUUAAAUCUUUUGAAGCUGUGAUGCUUAAAAGUUACCUUGGCAAUAAGAUAUUUAUUUUUAAUUUCUGGGAAAAAUUAUUCCAGUGUCUAAAUACUUCACUUUAAUUCCCUUCUCUUCCUCCUCUUCUUCUCUUUAAAAAAAAAAAUUGGCAAGAUAACUGCACUCCUUCUUAAGUGUGGUAAUUAUAAGUGUUCAGUUUUCUUCUCAAGUCCUCUGGUUGAAUGUUUGGCUAGAGGGUGUUUAUAGUGCCUCCUUCUAGUAUCUUGGCCUUUAGACUACAUUUCCAUGGUACCUCUUGGACCCGUAAUUAAAAAAUCUUUUUUUUCAGAUUGUUUAAUCAAUUGGGGAUUCAGAAAGUACAGAUUUUUCUAUAGUAAUAAAAUUUUUGGCAUCUGCAUACUCUUGCACUGUCCAUUCAUUUUUCCUUUAAUACACAAAGUAAAUAAUGGCAAGUGGAAGGUGACCACUUACAUGUCCCUGUCUCCAGAAUUGACUGUAUGCUUUCAUAUAGACUGAAAGAAUCAAUACUGAAAGAAUCAUACUCUGAAAGAAUCAAUACUUUUUUUUUUUGGUCCAAGAAAGCAUGGGUAGCCUUUUUCAUUAAAAACAUUAAAGAAAUACACAACUUUUCAAGCAGCGUUUGGGGAUUUAGAAUGAACUAUCGCCCUCGUAAAGUGUGCUUUGCUUUUAAAAUGUAAAGAUCUUCUUUCUUUAAAGGGAAUUGUCCACUCUGCAGAAAUGCAGUCGGAGUUUUUACUCCCUUUGGCACCUGGUUCUCUGUAUUCUGAGCUACUCUGAGGAGCACGGAAUAUUGGUAUCACUGAAAGUUGUCUAUGACCCGAUGCUCUCAUGUCUCUGGGUCGGAUGGAAAUAAAAAUGCACAGUGUGGGAGCUCUGAGUGUCACUUACAUUUGGAGACUUACUGAGAGCUAUAGCGCGGGAGACAGCCUCUCAGAUAGCUCUGAGGAACUGUUCCAAAGAAAUAAGGGGGAGGGAGGUCCGCAUAUAUGUGAUGCUGGGAGAAAGGGGUACGUGCAGUCAAGCACACAUCUUGGUAGAAGAUUACUGCGAGUCGUGAGGCACAAGUUAUCUUAGUGUUUUUAGUGCUUUUCUAAGUAUGGCAAGAUGUAGGAAAUUGAGUUCAUAAAAUUUUAUCCUGAAAAUGUUUAACUAUCUGAAGGCCUGUCCUGCCAGUUUUCGCAGAGCACAGAGGGUCUCAUUCCUGAUCUCUGUCCUGAAUUCCUGUCAGGGAAACUGCAGUGGCUAAUGACUCAAUCCUUGUAGAACAGGGUGGUAAAUGACAUUCUUUAGUUGGCAUGUGUUAAGCUAGGAAGCUUCCUAUUUAUGGUUCACAUAGUUAACUGGCCUGAACUUCUUUGUUUUACUUAAGAUAUCUCGUGGACUGAUGUAAAGUUCUAAGGCCAUGGAUAAUUUGUCUAUAUCAAGAUAGUUUGUAUAUGCAACUAGAGGUUCUCAUACUAAGUGAAGUAAGUCAGAAAGAGAAAGCCAAAUACCAUAUGAUGUCUCAUAUGUGGAAUCUAAGAUAUGGCACAAAUGAACCUAUCUACGAAACAGAAACAGGUCAUGGAUAUGGAACACAGACAUGUGGUUGCCAAGGGGAAGGGGGAAGGAGUGGGAUGGAUGGAAAUUUGGGAUUGGUAGAUGCAAACGGUUAUAUUUAGAAUGGAUAAGCAAUGUGGGGCUACUAUAGAGUACAGCACAGGGAACUAUAUCCACACUCUUGGAUAGACCAUGAUGAAAGAUAGCAUAAGAAAAGGAAUGUAUAUAUAUAUAUAUAUGUAUGAUAAAGUCACUUUGUUGUGCAGCAGAAAUUGGCACAACAUUGUAAAUCAACUAUUCUUUAAUUGAAAAAAAAGAUAGUUGUAUAAUAGUUUGGAAGGAAUAAGGAAGAAAUGAAAUAUAAAUGUUGUACGUUAUGUCAUUUGAACUACAGAAUUGAAAUAGUAAUAGUCCAUUUAAAAUUUAUUAACUUUUUGCAUUGAUUUUUCCUUAUAUCCAGUUUUAUUCAGUCAGUUGCUAUUAUUGUUGAAUCCUAAAACAAAAAUAGAGAGGCAUUUAAAUUUCCACCCUCCCACGAUUGUUCAUCAAAUUGAUCAGUUUAUUCAGGUUAAGAUUUUCCACCUGAGUGUUUACUUUUCAUAGUUCUUACAGCAUCUUGUUCAUAAUUGUUACUUUUUAAUGGAUAGAAAAAUGAGAUUAAUGCAUCUAUAUCUAUAUGUACUAUAUAUCAAUAUAUCCAGCCUGACUACCUAUUUGCCUCUCGAUCAAUCCAUCCAUCAAGAGAGGUUGGCACUUGUGUCCUUAGAUGUGCUUCUUACUCAUGGUAAAAUAAUAACUUCUCUUUUGUUCUUUUUCAUAGAUAUUUUCUCUAGUGCAUAAGGCAAAGUCAGUGUGGUUUGCUCUUCAAUUUUGGAAGAGACUCUUUAUGUGUAAGCAUAGGCAGCAUAUUGCAUCAAUGGGUGAAUUCUUUGUUUUUUGACUGUGACCUUGUAGCUGAUUUUUAGGCUUGAUUUCAAUGGACAGAACUCAUGUAGUCCAUGUAAGACAACUGGUUUAUCUCCUGCAACUAUUGUUUAGAAUUUUGUGAAAUUCUGUAUUUCUUGAAGUGUUGUUUUAUUAUAAUUUAUUUUUCCACCCAAGCUAUGGAGAGUUUCCACAUGAAGCUCCCUCUGAGGUUCAUGAUUGAGAAUGUAGAGGAGGAAAAAUAAUUUCCCCUUUAUUCUUCUAGAUUCUUGGCUGAGACAGUCCCUGCAGUAAAAGAAGGUUAACAGGAGAAAAACAAACAAAAGUUUAAUAACAUGUAUGCAUCCUAUAUUCAUGGCAGAUAGCCAGGUAAACUGAGUAACUCCCUCAAUGGCCCAACUACCACCUUAAAUACCAUCUCCAACUGAAAACAAAAAAAAAGAUGUCAGAGGGAGUCAGUUAUGGGAGUUUUUCAGGCAAAGCGCAGUAAACAGGGGUAUUGUUGUUAGGGAGAUUGAAGGCAGUGUCUUCUCUAUUAGUAAGAGUUUCUAUAGAUUUAGUCAUCCUUUUCUUCCAAGUACAGAGAGGGAGACACCCCCGCAAAUGGAGAUGUCCCUUAUAAAUGUAUAUGUCUCUUACAGAAGGUUAAGUUAUACACAACUCUCAGAGCAUCUCCUGUGUUUGCUCUUUCUUAAAAAUAAGCAGCCCCACCCCGAACCAAAAAGGCAUAUUUUGGGGUGAUGUAUCUUGCUCCCUUUCAGGAAGCAUUGUUUCUCUACACUCGGAAUCUCUGUUAUGAAUUGUGUCAGUUUAUAAGCCUUGAACCAUAUUACUCACUUGUAAAAUAUUAAUAAAAAAUAUGUGUCCUCCCUACUUUUACUGUGUUACUGGAAGAAUCAAAGUAAAAUUAUACACCAUAAAAAAUUAAAUAAAUAUUCAUGAGUUCAUAUUCACAAACAGUUGGAUAAAAAAAUGAAUGGGGAGGAGUUCCUGUCAUGGCUCAAUGAUAAUGAACGUGACUAGUAUUCAUGAGGACACAAUCCCUGGCCUCACUCAGUGGAUUAAGGAUCCACUGUUGCCAUGAGCUGUGGUGUAGGUCACAGACAUGGCUUGGAUCCCAUGUUGCUGUGGCUGUGGUGUGGGCCAGUGGCUACAGCUCUGAUUAGACCCGUAGCCUGG
rnacentral:lncRNA from 1 species